UGACCUUCUGAUUCAAGCGUUCUCUCAAC
rnacentral:piRNA from 1 species